CAGUCAAUUUUCCUUUUCGGUAUACCCUCUAGAAAUACCCGACUUCGUUCACGAAAUGGAAUUGGAGCUGUUCCCUUCGGUAAGAGGACUACAAAAAGCCAACUUGAUGAAUAUAAAAAGACAAGAGGAGUGCCGAAAGUGCCAGAAAAAUUUAGAAAAGGAGAGGCUAGAAUUUUGGACAGCAAAUUGCCGUAGUGGUGGCGACAGCGCCACACUACCCAGCUGAGGAACUUAGAGUAUGUUGGAAAUCUGCUGAAUGCAACGAUGAAAGGAUCUAACAAUUCAGAAUAAUAUGGCCACCAGUUCCCGAUUUAAGCGGGCCGCUUGUGUUCAAGCAAUAAGGAAAGCGAGGGACACCGAUAAAACGAGGAAAUGGCUUGAUCGAACAGGCCACGAUAAGAUUCUUCCCGAAUCCUGGCUCAAUUCAUAAGUGGCCCCUGCAAUUAUAGCGAUUGAUUCAAGUCUAGAUAAGCGCCUGCGCAUGCACAGUGCGCGACAUCGUUGUUUCAGUACUCUACGAAAACUGCUCGUCUGUUCCUUACAGCGCAUUUUGUAAUAAAAUAUCGUAAAAAAGUAU